AUUGAACGCUGGCGGCAUGCCUUACACAUGCAAGUCGAACGGUAACGGGCCUUCGGGUGCCGACGAGUGGCGAACGGGUGAGUAAUACAUCGGAACGUGCCCGAUCGUGGGGGAUAACGAGGCGAAAGCUUUGCUAAUACCGCAUACGAUCUACGGAUGACAGCAGGGGACCGCAAGGCCUUGCGCGGACGGAGCGGCCGAUGGCAGAUUAGGUAGUUGGUGGGAUAAAAGCUUACCAAGCCGACGAUCUGUAGCUGGUCUGAGAGGAUGAUCAGCCACACUGGGACUGAGACGCGGCCCAGACUCCUACGGGAGGCAGCAGUGGGGAAUUUUGGACAAUGGGCGCAAGCCUGAUCCAGCCAUGCCGCGUGCAGGAUGAAGGCCUUCGGGUUGUAAACUGCUUUUGUACGGAACGAAAAGCCUUCUUUUAAUACAGGAGGGUCAUGACGGUACCGUAAGAAUAAGCACCGGCUAACUACGUG
rnacentral:rRNA from 1 species